rnacentral:misc_RNA from 1 species
AUUAAAAAAAAAAAAGAGCACCCUGUAUUCCUAGCAUGCUGUGGCAAGUUAGUACAACAUAAACUACUCCCAUAGAAAUGGUUCAACAGUAACUAAUCCACUUUUUCUCUUGUUUAGCAUUCCCCUGCCUCCAUGGGUACUUGAAGAGAUCUUGUAUACACAGACAGAUCAGGUCGGAGGAAUCCUGAGUAUAUCUCCUUGGGUUGUGACUUGCUUAAGUGUUGAGAGCAAGAACACCCAUACAGGUGUACACCGAUUACAUGAGGAGCUUUCAAAACAAAUUCAGAGAUUACCUAGGUGAAGUUAUUGUGGAAAUUCAAGUGGGGAUGGGACCUUGUGGAGAGCUAAGAUAUCCAGCUUAUCCAGAAAGCAAUGGAACAUGGAGGUUU